rnacentral:rRNA from 1 species
GUGACCUGCGGAAGGAUCAUUAAUGAUUAACUGUCUGUCGAGCUUGCUCACAGACUUAUCAUAUCCAUAACACCUGUGCACUUGUCGGAUGGCUUAGUGAAGACCGCAAGGUUGGAUCUAUCCAUCUACUUUACAUAACAAUCUAGUAACAAAUGUAGUCUUAUUAUAACAUAAUAAAACUUUCAACAACGGAUCUCUUGGCUCUCGCAUCGAUGAAGAACGCAGCGAAAUGCGAUAAGUAAUGUGAAUUGCAGAAUUCAGUGAAUCAUCGAAUCUUUGAACGCACCUUGCGCUCCCUGGUAUUCCGGGGAGCAUGCCUGUUUGAGUGUCAUGAAAACCCUCAACCUUAGAUUGGUUAACACCUUUCUUUGGCUUGGAUUUGGACGUUUGCCGAUGAUAAGUCGGCUCGUCUUAAAAGUAAUAGCUGGAUCUGUCUCGCGACAUGGUUUGACUUGGCGUAAUAAGUAUUUCGCUAAGGACAUCUUCGGAUGGCCGCGUUGCAAGACUAAAGACCGCUUUCUAAUCCAUUGAUCUUCGGAUUAAUAUUCUUGACAUCUGGCCUCAAAUCAGGUAGGACUACCCGCUGAACUUAAGCAUAUC